UGACCUAUCUGUAAAUAUGCACGGGUAGGCCAAUAAAUAGGGAGUUAAUUUAACUCUCUGCAUAUUAAACGAAAGAGGAAAGUACCAUGGCACUAAGUGCAGAAGAAAAAGCAGUAAUUGUUAAAGACAAUCAAGUUGAA
rfam:Gamma proteobacterium IMCC1989 ctg_112, whole genome shotgun sequence.